UCCAUGUUCAUCAGUGGAAUCAAAGUUCUGAUCCCAUAGCCAAACGUACAGAUAAACAGUGACCCAGUGAAGGUUCCAUCAGACAGGAUGAAAGCCAGAUCCCUCCAGUCCUCCGGCACAGGAAGGCCGCUCGCUCCACCGAGUCCACGGGCGAUCGGCCAGCUGUGACAGCAGCGAGCAGCGGAGACGACAAUGGCGACUCCGACUCCGGGUAAGAGCUUUGUUUCAGUCUCGUGCACCACAUCAAACCCCUUGACGAUCAAACUGUGGAUGAUUCGCCUUGGCACUUAAUUAUUAGUACGUAGUUCAUUAGUACGGUUCCCCAGUAGCUGAACUCCUACCCCAUAAGAUAAGAUGCCCUGAACCCAGGCGGGGCGUGACGUCUCUGUCGGAGCUGCACACGUGUGCGUGUUGUUGUAACCAACAUGUGUGCAGGUGCAGUGACAGCUGGGAGCUCUACGUGCUGCUGCUGCUCUGGCUGCUGCUCUACUGCUUCUGGCUGCUGCCCCAGAUGGACCUGAAGACACUUCCCAGCCUGCUGCUCAACCUGGAGCCCUGAACGCACACACACACACACACACACACACACACACACGUAAAGCACCACCACCAAAUCGCACACUACAGUCCUGAAGAGGAGGAGUUGUUUUAGCUUUGUGCUGUGCAGCUUUCCAUGUGGCUCGGAGGCGUCUGUAUCUCCACGUUCUGGGGAAUAUUAUGAGAAAAGCGUUGUCGUUUUACAGGAUGAAAAGUCAUAACUUAUCAACAAUAACGUUUGAACUAUUCGUUAAGUCAGAUUAAAAGAAAUACUUGUAUUAUUAGAAACUGGGCUUUUAUUUUAGGAGUCUAUGGUUUUGAGAAAAGUCAGUGCUGUUAAAGUAAAUGUAAAAUAUUUUUGUGUUAUUAGAUUUUGUUUUAUGAUCAUUAUUAUUCAAAUAUAAAGAAACAAUAUCAUCGUAGUUAUAGAUCGUAGCCAAAGACCUGUAAUAAACAACCAGAAGCGAGACGUUUUCCUUCUUAAAGGUGUGACUUUAUUUAACAUUAGAACUUCUUCUCAUGACGUUGUUGUUUUGGUCCAAAUGUUGCAGUUAAAAUGGGAAAACCUGAUUUGUAAUUUACGACGGUUCAAAGGCGACACAACUGACAUUGUGAGACAACACGUACAGCACUCUGAUUGGUACAUGGAGAUAUAUACUAUGGACUCAUGGACUGAAUAGCCAUUUAAAGUGAAAGUGCUUUAAGCUGAGGGAGAUUAGAACAUUCAAACAUGCAAACCUGUAGGUGAUCUGAAGGUAACUAAUGAAGGGGGAUUUUGAUCCGUUGCACAUCGUGAAAAAGAAUCAGAACUGCCAAAGAAAUGCUUGAGAGAUGAGUAUAAGACAUAUGCAUUAACGAUAUGCAUACGCUCAAUACGGUAUCCGUGCCAACGAAAAGUACACAACAACCUGUUUUUAACAAAGUCAAUCUGGUACUAAAGCUCCGCCCCAGUGGCUCUAUAUUGUAUCAUAGUCGAGCAGAACAUGUAUUUGUAAUAUUUUGUGUCUUAUAAUGGAUUUUUAACGUUUUAUUGUAAAGAAAUGUUUUAUGUGAUUGAGACUUGCUUGUGAAAAGAGAAUGCUUUACGAUGAAAUAUCUUUAUAUACAUAUAUGCUAUUUUUGAACAUUGUCUGACAGAGCGCGCCUCCUUCACCCCGUCCUUCCUCCACCCGCACUCGGCCGGGUCAUCGUCAGCCCGUCUCCCGUGUGAGUGCUGGACGUCCGGUUGCACUUUAACCCUCGUUAGAGCCAAACUGUGUCCCUUCUAUUGAUCAGCAUAAAGCACACAUGCAACUGUCUGUGGAACACGUGAAGCGCCUGCCAAUGUUACCGUGCUGCUGGGAAGGAACUGAGAAGGAACGCUCAUGAAAUGAUGCAUUAGCUUCGCUAUUAUGUAUGAAUGUUUUGCCUUUUUGUCAGAUGUGUUUAUAAAAAAAAUAGUUCCUCACUAAAAAAAGUUCCUUUUUUUUUUAUAUAUUCUUUUACCAAAUGAGUUUGUAGUAAUACCUUCUGCACUAUACUGUCUCUGAAUAGACCUUUGAGUCACCCUGACGGGAAGGGGACACAGCUCCGUUUACAAAAGAGGUCCAAGGGCUCGAGGAGCUUCACGUCCACCCGUGGAGGUCAGGCUGAAGGUCCUAUUCAGGCCCCUCAGGUUCCAGCCUCUUUCACCACAAAUGAAUCACACCUCCACACGCUGCUGCCCGCCACAUGUGUCCGGUGCCUUCAACAAAAACAUGUCCAACCACCGGGACAGUCCCUUGAGUCUGAGACAAAAGGGCAGUUUGAGGUCUUUACAAGGGGACUGUGUGUGUCUUUGUGUCUCCUCCACCCAGAGGACUAACCUAGACGCACAUAUUGGCUUAGUCAUUGCAAAUGUUUCAUCAGCACCAGUGGACUGCGAUUAAAGACGUGUCUCAAAG
ensembl:lncRNA